CUACGGGGGGCAGCAGUGGGGAAUAUUGCACAAUGGAGGAAACUCUGAUGCAGCAACGCCGCGUGGAGGAUGACACUUUUCGGAGCGUAAACUCCUUUUAUAUAGGAAGAAGAUGACGGUACUAUAUGAAUAAGCGCCGGCUAACUCCGUGCCAGCAGCCGCGGUAAUACGGAGGGCGCAAGCGUUACUCGGAAUCACUGGGCGUAAAGAGCGUGUAGGCGGGUUAAUAAGUCAGAAGUGAAAUCCUAUGGCUCAACCAUAGAACUGCUUUUGAAACUGUUAACCUAGAGUGUGGGAGAGGUAGAUGGAAUUUCUGGUGUAGGGGUAAAAUCCGUAGAGAUCAGAAGGAAUACCGAUUGCGAAGGCGAUCUACUGGAACAUAACUGACGCUAAGGCGUGAAAGCGUGGGGAGCAAACAGGAUUAGAUACCCCAGUAGUC
rnacentral:rRNA from 1 species